UGUAGAUAUUUGUUGUGUAACUGCCUUAAGAAGUUGUGUUUUUAUUGGGUUGCUUUAAUUAAAUUCUGGAAAAGGAGUCGCUCAUUUGAAGUGCGGUCCACGUGUAUAGGCCUCGAAUGAACGUUGAUAUGCUUAUUGUAACUAAAUUAUCUUUGCUAAUAUGCUUUAAGUUUUGACAAAGGUUUUAAUAUUAACUUGACUAAACCAAUUCACGUUUAAUUCAAUAUUGGUCAACGUGGUAUGUGUUGUAGCGAAUUUUUGUUAAUCUAUUUUCUUUAUUUCCAGGUCUAAUGCUUUGAGGCCUCUGAUAAAGGGUGACAUAAGGAGACUGGGGUGCAUCUAGAGUAGUGUCCAAGGUCUAAUGCUUUGAGGCCUUUGAUUAAAGGGUGACAACAGGAAUGUGAAUCUGGAACGCUGUGUGAAAGGAGCAUGUGCAGUUGAUUUGAACGGUUGUUAAAGAUGUUGGUGGAAGAGAUGUGAAGAUGCGUUCAGCUGAGCAUGCAUGAGUUCUACAGGGAUUCAAACAUGAUUGCUUUUACUGUAAUUCUGGCUGUGGAAAGAUCAGUAGCUGUCUGAUUGUUCUUCAGGGACUGAUGACCAGCAUGAUGUGCUGAUGGCAGUCACUGUGGGUGUGUGUGCUUAUUGACAGGUGCAGUGGUGACUGCUCCUUUGUGCCAUGUGAAUAUGAAUGCGGCGUGUGUUUAAGGUCCUGGAUUGGGGCAACGUGUUGAUUGUGACCAACUAACCAAUGGCAGUCUCUUAGGGAGCUCAAGAUUAUCCAGGAUGGCUCUGGAAAAACCAUAUGGACGGUUUUACCUGCAUCUGACUCUUCUGAAUGAUGUUCCAGAGAGCUUCGAUUCUUUUAUCGCUUUCUGAUUUGAAGUCACUGGUCUUUUUGAGCAAUUAAGUGACCUUUUCAAAGCUGUCGUCUACGUUACAACUGCAUUUUUGACUACCAUUUUCAACAGCACUACGUUGCAGCUACGCAUUACUUCAAUAAAGUCCUAAAAUCAAA